AACGAACGCUGGCGGCAGGCCUAACACAUGCAAGUCGAGCGCUGUAGCAAUACAGAGCGGCGCACGGGUGAGUAACACGUGGGAACGUGCCCUUUGGUUCGGAAUAACUCAGGGAGACUUGAGCUAAUACCGGAUGAGCCCUAACGGGGAAAGAUUUAUCGCCGAAGGAGCGGCCCGCGUCGGAUUAGCUAGUUGGUGGGGUAAUAGCCUACCAAGGCAACGAUCCGUAGCUGGUUUGAGAGAACGACCAGCCACACUGGGACUGAGACACGGCCCAGACUCCUACGGGAGGCAGCAGUGGGGAAUCUUGGACAAUGGGGGAAACCUUGAUCCGGCCAUGCCGCGUGAGUGAUGAAGGCCCUAGGGUUGUAAAACUCUUUCGGCGGGGACGAUAAUGACGGUACCCGCAGAAGAAGCUCCGGCUAACUUCGUGCCAGCAGCCGCCGUAA
rnacentral:rRNA from 1 species